AUCCUUUUGUAGUUCAUGAGCGUGAUGAUUGGGUGUUCACACUAUUUCGUGAUUUGUGCCUCACUCCAGACACCGGCACAUUACCCAUCUGACG